UUGGUAAAGAGACUUGGAGAGCAAGGCACAACUGGCUCCCUUUUGGAGCCUCCCAUGUGGCGCCCUAUGUGGCUCCCUUCUUGGAGUCUUGCAAGAUUUUUAUGAGGCCAUCCAACAUGGCUUUUGAUACAAGGCCCAGUCCCAAAAUUCUAUGCUACUUGGCCCAAAUACAGGGCCCAAAAUCCUAUUCUACUUGGCCCAAAAUAUAAGGCCCAAAAUAAAU
rnacentral:lncRNA from 1 species